GACGUAGGGGGCAAGCGUUGUUCGGAAUUAUUGGGCGUAAAGCGCUCGUAGGCGGGACAGGAAGUUCGUGUUGAAAGACCUCGGCUCAACUGAGGGACCGGCUCGAAUACUCUUGUUCUUGAGGCAAUCAGAGGGUGAUGGAAUUCCCGGUGUAGCGGUGAAAUGCGUAGAUAUAGGAAGGAACACCAGUGGCGAAGGCGACCACCUGGACUGAUACUGACACUGAGGUGCGAAAGCGUGGGGAGCAAACAGG
rnacentral:rRNA from 1 species